UGAAGCAGGCUCUGCGCUGGCAGCAGAGAGCCCAAUGCAGGGCUCGAACCCACAAACUCUAAGACCACAACCUGAGCCAAAAUUGGACUCUCAAUCGACUGAGCCACCCAGACACCCCACCAGGCUUUCUAUCACGUGAACCUUCUGUAAUCUCAGCACAGCACUUGUCAUCACCCAACAUGUUCCGUUUUCAUUUGUUCCUCUGCCUCUUCCCCAUGAUGCUCACACACCCACUACUGCCUUCCCCUUACUACACUGUGAGACACAGGAGAAGAGAGACUGCCUGCCUUCUGCCCGCAUCCCUAGCACUGGGUUCGUAGGAGGUGCUCAGUGAAGAAACAUUAACUGCUUUUAUUAUUAUUCUUUAAAAUGCAGCUGUCAUCAUCCUGAAGACAGAUAUAUUUUUCACAUAAAUAUCACCUUCAAUACCUGGGGCUCAGUCCUGGAUAAAGCCCGAUUGUUUUAAUAAUAGAAAUGCCCAUUUCUACAUACAUUCCAAAAUUGCUUACUGCCCAGAUUUUUUUUUCCUUUGUAAAAAUUUUGGCAACAUAUACAUACACUGUUUUUUUUGUUUUGUUUUGUUUUGUUUUUUAACCAUUUUGAAGUAUACCAUUCAGGAGCAUUAAGUAUGUUCCCAUUGUUGUGUGACCAUCACCAUCUCCAGAAAUUUUUCAUCUUUGCAAAAUGAAACUCUGUGCCCAUUAAACACUAACUCCUCCUCCCCUCCCAUGCUGUCCAGAUUUUUAAUUCCUUUUGUCACUGAAUGCAAGAGAGUAUUUGGUUAUCUAUGGCUGUGUUAGAAAGACCCUAAGAUAUUGAUCGAAAUAACAAUUAAUUAUUAUUUCCUCCUGUGUCUGGGGAUUGACUGGGCCAGUUCUUCAACUCUGGCUUCAUGCCAGAGUUGGGACCACUGAAGGACUCUGGAAGGUUCACAGUGGAGGCACUGAGAAAGAUGUACUGGAAGGGAUGAGGGGAGGGUAGGAAAGACAGUUAAGAAACUUUUGGAGUGAUCCAAAUGUCAGACGGCGCUGGGGUAAGGGUCAUCUUGAAGUCUUCUUCACUCACAUGUCUGGUGCUUGGGCUGGGAGAACUCAAACAGCUGGGGCUUCUCUGACAUCUCUCUCUCCAUGUGGUCUCUCCACUUGAGCUCUCAACAUGAGGUCUCAGGGACACUAGACUUCUCACCUAGCAACUGACAAGUGUCCCAAGAGAAGCUGCAAACAGGAACAGCAUUUGUUUUUAUAAACCUGGCCUUGGAAGUCAUUUAGCCUUGCUUCCAUUGCAAAGACCUGACCAGGUUAAAGGGAAAAAAAUAUAAUCCAUCUCUUGAUGGGAGAGGUGUCAAAAAAUUUGUGGCAUAUUAUAAAACCACCACCUUGUCCUGACCCAGCAAACCUGGAGCAUGUAGCAUCUUAGAAGAUGUCUGGGUUUGAGUACUAAGGGCUGCAAGCUGGGAGAACAUAGCAUCUUGACUCCUUGAAGGACGAAACCAGUCUGCACAGUGACCUGGGACCUGGAGGCUUCGCAGCAGAGUAGACCAGAGACUGGACCAGAGACUCCAUGUGACAGAGACUGGGAACAGCAGGAGUGAGAUGACUGGACUCCCAGUUCAGAGGUCUAUGUGAGGGUUCCUGGUUGCAGACCACAGAAGCCAAUCUAAUCGGUUUAACGAAAAAAAGAUGUUUUCAAAGAUAUUAUGCAGUUCACCGAAUCUCCAGGAAAGCCAGAGAGUUGGCUAUGCAUCUGGGCAUAAUGCUCAAAGACUACUAUAGGACUGCUUAUAAAGACUCCCACUACCAGGAGCUUGGGUCCCAGGCUCCAUUUACAGCUUGCACUGAGGCUUGGCAGUGGAUGCUACUGCUUGACCCUCUGCCACUACCGCUUCUUUGAGUUAGUGUGGCCUUUCCUCAAGGUGGUCAACAAACAGAGCUCAUGAGAUGUGGAGUGCUGCCAUCAUCUUAUAUUUAACCAUGGCCUCAGAGUUCACUAUCCUAUGAGGGAGAUGGAAAACUAAAUUAUAAAGCUGCACUUUGCCAGGUAUGGAUGGAGAGGAAAACUCAAGGGAGACUCAUAAAUCAGCCUGAAGUGUCAAAGAAGGCUUCCCCAGAGAGACUCCAGAAACCCCACCUCUCUCCCACCGUGUGAGGGUCAGUCGUGUACAAACUGGAUGACAGCCUUCUCCAGGACCUAACUACUCUGGUGCCCUGAUCUUCAACUUCCAGCCUUCAGAACUGUGAGAAAUAAACACCUGUUGUUUAUAAAUCACCCAAUCAGUGGCAUUUUGUUACAGCAGCCCAAACAGUCUAAAAUACUGAUCACAUUUGCCUAAUAGACCUCCCCAAAUGGAGAACCAUUAUCUUCAAUAAAUCAUGGAACCAGCCCAUGCUUGCAGAUCUGGUGCAGUCAUCUCUUUUCUUUCACUUUGUUCCAGGGUUGAAAGCUAUUCACACCAUUAAUUUUUAAUUUUUUUAAAAGCAGAGGCUAGAAACUAGCACUUAUUUCCCCUUCUUGUGAGCUCUUUUUAGAAAGCAAUGUAUCAGCCUUAUCACUGGGCAAAGAUUGAUCAUUACAUCUGGAAGGGUUUCACCACUCUGUAUUAUUUUCAUCACAAUAACAUUGUUCAGGCCAUUUGAUGAGACAUUAGGAAAGAACUAGAAAAUAGAAACUGCCCUUGAUCAUUUGCAUUUUGUUGAUGUUGUGUUAUUUCAGGUAACACAGGACUCUACUUUCCACACAUUCUGAGUUAAUAUGUUACAUUAAAGCCAAUAAAUUUUGCAUUCUUACUCAUUAA